CUAGCAAUGGCUACGGGGAUGAGAAGGGAUGGAGAAGGGGUCACACUUGAAGUUAAGCACUUGAACCUAAGCACCAGAACCCAGUUCCAGGAUUUCCUCCACCUACUGAGCACCCUGCUGAUAUAUCAAGGGGAUAGGACAAUAAGAUUUACUCCUGGCUCCUAGACAACAUCAGCGUAUUUUCAUAGUGGUCCCAAGCUCCCCAGGGUGAUCAGAAGACCAGGCCUCCCAUCAGCCAGCCAGUGGAGGCUAUUUGGAAGCCCCUCAGCUCAACUGAGAGAGCCAGAGGCCCCUCCAGGCUGCCAGGAUCCAAGGAAGGCAGGAUGAAUCUCCCGCACAGUGGGAAGCAACCUCAGAUUGGGAAGAGUUCCUCCCAAAGUCAACUCAAUAAAACAAAGAAGUCUUAUGGAUA
rnacentral:lncRNA from 1 species